AAUGGAAGUCACUGUAAUUAUUUAAAGGAUGUGAAACCAUGGUAGGCUAAUUGUAGCAUGGCAGAUCAUGAUCUAUUUUCAGCCAUCUCUAGUCAGAGGCACAUGGAUGUACGAAUGCCAUCAAAGGCCAGUCACUUGAUUAUACUGGUCACUCUGGGAAGGAUCCAAAAUAAGUAACUAUGAAACAAGAUGAUUAUAUCACAUGGAUAACUGAGAACUGAGUUGAAGCAGUUGGAGUGUAUAAUUCUUCAGAGAGGAUACGUACAUACCCAGCCUAACUCCAUUUUGCAGGAUCUUCUUUCAAGGUCUUCGUCUGGUGGCAAGUGUGUGAAUGGAGCUCCAGAGAGAGAGAGGUGUUUGUGAUUCAGAGCUUGACCUUAUGCCAGCUUCAAAGUGACAGAUUGAUGUCUUUGCUGGACAUCAGUGGAGCUUUUAUUGGACACACACCUUUUUUACCCUGGCAUAGCAACACGACACUGGCCGAAGUCACUGCAGCCAUAAUGGGAUUUUCCAUCAGAACACAGAGCGAGAAGCUGGCUACGAGCACCACCACAAUCAUGGCUUAGAUCUCUUUAUCGUCAGAAGAACUUCUAUUAAAAUGAAUAGAGGCUGGACUUGAAUGAUCAGAUGAAGAGAAGAGGAAAUUCAAAGAUUAUGAAGUUGAUGGAGAAACUGUCAACGCUGGUCUCAUGGAUCACAUGAUAGCACAGCUUUUUGAGAAGUCUGUUAAGAAGAUGUUUUCAACGUAGAUACGUUGUGGACACUGUGUGGAAAACUGUUGCUCCCACAAUCGUUUGAUUCUCAUGUUCAUGCAUUUCAUAUUUCAUAUGACAAGGAUUGGUUUUGUAUGAUGCCAGGAGAGGAACUGGACUGCCAGGAACUUGAGCUAUAUAAGGUUGAUGACGUUUUGUAUGUAGGAACCAGAUAUGCAUAGGCACUCACCUACAGAACAUUAGGUUUGUGCACAUCCCAUUACAAUGUUUUUGAUGCUUUUGCAUCAUUUCAUUUCUGCUUUAAAAAUGUUAAUGUUAAGUAAAUGCAAGGGUAUUGUGUGAAAAGUGGGGAAAAAAUGAAUUUAAAAGUGUAAAUUGUAUUGUGAACAGUUUGUUUGUGAAAAGUUGUAGAUGGGAAAAUGUAUUUUACAUAGUGUAACAUUUUAGUGUAAUUGUAUUCUGUUAAAAUAUAUAUUUUUUAUAUCUUUAUUGUAAACUUUAAAGAUAUAUUUACACAAAAAGAAAUAUUUUACUGUAAGCUGCAACAAAGUGUUUGUUCAAGUUAUUGUUACAGUAACAGUUACUGAUAUUAAAUUGAUGCCUUUUGGGUUCAAUUGUUGAAUGUGCAUAUUAUUCAAUAGGAAAAUGGCCUUUAGUAGUCCUUGAAGGAACACAUCUGACACAUUUAAGGUACAAAGGGGCUUAUCACUGGGGUGGUAGCUUCAAGGAUAAGAUUUGUACCUUUGAUGAAGGUACAGUAUUUGUACCAGCAAGUUUAAAAAAACAAAGGUACAUUUUGGUUGCCCAUGGUACAAAUCAUGUCUGUAAAGGUACAAACUGGAAUGGUACAAAUUUGUUUCUUUAUAUUAAGGUAAAAUUCCAUUAAAAGUUACCGCCCCGGUGAUAAUGGUUUGUACCUGCUUUAGUACAAAAUUGAACUUUUUUUUUCUUUUCUUUUUUUAUGAGAGUGUAAAACACUGAAUGCAUACAAUCCACAGUUCAACUUAAAACUAACUAUAACACAACCCUUUAUAAACUGGAACAAAUUCUAAAAGUGCCAUGUUUCAAUUUAAUUUCCUUGUGUAGCAAUAUCUCAUCUCAAUCACACAUACCUUCUUGAUUAAAGUUUCCUCACCAGUGAGCUUCAUCACUCUCUAGUCUGUUCACUGCAGCCGCACAGAUAAAGAAGUCUCUGUGCUCCAUGAUGAAUUAAUCUGAAUGUCUUUUCCCUCCCUGGAUAAUACCUUGUGUUUUCAGAAUUACAUAAUAAGCCUGCAGUCUAUUUCCUCGAUUGUUUUAAUCUUGCCAUCACCAAAAGUGUUUUUUUCAUGUAUAUUUUUGUACAUUUACAUUACAAAGACCCCACAGACCCUUUCUUCUCUUCCCCUUUUUAAAUGCACCGAGAAGAACUUUUUCUGACUGAAUGGAUGCGGCACAUUUAAAAGCAUUAUAUAUGAAAAUAUAUCAGAUUAUAAAAUUUUCCUGGAAAAAAUGUCCAUUAAAAUUUAAAUCGCUUCAUCAGUUUCACAUCACGGGUGCAAACUGCACUUUUUAUGCACUUUCCAUUUUUUUAAUGAAAACAAAUCAGAGUUCUUAUGAAUUUUUAAUGAUGUCAGAAUGACUCCAUCAUGUCUCUUCCUUUAAUUGAACAUACAAAAUGCAGUAUAAAGGGUCUCAGAAAUGAAAAAAGAAGAAUACCUACAUGAAUCUGGAAUACCAAAUACAAAAAAAUUAAAUAAAUAAAACACUUUCACAAGAAAUUGAGCGCCACAGAGGCAGCCAUAUUUGACACAUAUUGGAACCAAGUGACUUUCUAAUUCAGCAUGACUUAUCAUUCUUAGAAAAUGACUAAAGGUGGUCUUAUUUCAAUUCACAGCACACCCAGGACAUGAUGUAUUAAGCUCUUUGUGCCUAUUUUCAGGCACAAUAAAGCCACAUUCUGCAUGAAAAAACUUUGUGUGAAACUGAUGUAUAAGCCAAAACACAAAAUGUAUGUAUUGUGCAUGGAACAAAACACAUAGUGAGCUUCUCCACAUCGUACAUAAGCACUUGACGGGGAUCAAGAAAAGAAAAAAAAAAAAAAAGGGAAGUGUGACUGAUUAUAUGUUCUGUUUAAGGUAGUAACUUUAACACUGCUAUGUGUGUUGUUCAGAUCAGCAGAGUUAUUGUGUUACCACAAACCUGGGCUACAUUUGGGCUACAAACUGCCAGCUCUGUUUCUUUAUUCAUUCUCAGAUAAAUAUAUAAAUAUUUUAAAAUUCAUAAUAAACUAUGCAAAAUACAAGACAAUUCAGGACUUUUAGGAAAGAACUAUUCAGGGAAUCUAUUUGUGUUACUAAAUGGUAAAUGAUCUGCACUUAUAUAGUACUUUUUAAACUUAGUGGUUCUACAAAGCACUUUACAUUGACAGCAGAGCUGCCAUGCAAGGCACUAGCCUGCCAUUGGGAACAACUUGGGGUUCACUGUCUUGCCCAAGGACACUUCAGCACCCUGUGGACAACCCGCUCUAGCACCUGAGCCACAGCCGCCCCAAAUAAUUAAUACUGCUGGUCAAUUUCAUUAACCGCUUUAACCUGGUCAAGCAUGCAGUGAAUACAGAGCUUAUCCCAGUAACACUGGGUGGGAGGCAGGAAUACACUCGGAAUGGAAUGCCACUCCAUCAUAUGGCACCAUGCAUACACAUACACAUUCACACAAUUUAUCUUAGCCACUCUAUGUAUUGGCAUUUUUGGGAGGUUGGAGGAAACCAGAGAACCUGGAGGAAACCCAUGCAGACACAGGGAGAACAUGCACAGCCAUUAACUGGUGCUAAUGAUCAACCCAGGGACCCUAGAGCUGUGAGGCAGCACAGCACAUACACUAUAUGGCCACUACAUGGCCACUAUUUGGCCAAAAGACACCUGACCUUCAAGCAUAUCUGGUUCUUCCUCAAACUGUUGCCAUAAAGUUGGAGGCACACAAUAAUAUAGAAUUCCUUUGUAUGCUGCAGAAUUACAAUUUCCCUUCACUGGAACUAAGAGUCCCAAACCUGUUCCAGAAUGGCUGAGCACAAAGCAAGCUCCAUGAAGACAUGUUGUUCCAAGGUUAGAGUAGAAGAACUUGCCUACACAGAACGCUGAAAUCAAGCCCACCUUUGGGAUGAACUGGGAUGCCAGCUACAAACCAGGCCUUCUCGCCCAACAUCAGUGCCCAACCUCGGUAAUGCUCUAGUGGCUGAAUAAUCAAGUCCAUAUUACUGCUCAUGGUUUUCAAAUAGAAUGGUCAACAAGUACAUAUGGAUGUGAUGGUCAGGUGUCAACAUACUUUUGGCCAUACAGUAUAGGUCAGGUCACAUACAUAAAUUUCCUAACACAACAAACUCAACAGAUUAAACAGGACUUUCAUGGAAUGUCAUAGAAACUGCAGCCGAAUACAAGAAAAUAUUUUUAUUGCACACUUCUGUAUAUUCCUUAUUUUUCAUAUCUGAUGUCAUUAACGACACCUACACUGUUUACUUGUUCUGACACAAGUGUUUAUUUAAUAAGAAUUUUAUUAACACAUUAUCAUUGUACUUGCAUUACAGCUGUGUGGUUGACCAUUUCUACCACAGAGCAUUUAUUAAGUGGUCACCAGUUUGCAUAAUGAGCUACAGUAAAUCGAACAUUAAUUUCAGACACACUGGGUGUGUUUUGUGUUAUUUAGUAUUUUGCACAGUGUCUCUUGACUAUACAUAUGUAUAGUUAUAUGGUCUAUACACCAUAGUAGGCUGACAGUAGUAUCAUUUUAAAGUUCCAGGGAAAACCAAAUAAGCAAACAACAGACACUAAACAUGUAUUAGCUGAAUGACCUCAUUACAUGAAAGUUGGAAAUUAGGGUGAAUUUAAUAUUUAGAUUUUUUUUUGUGUGCUUGCAAUAAAGCAGUAGUGGAGUGACAGAGACAUAGAUUUGGUUUAAAAGUAUUCCCUAUCCUUGUUCUCUUCUCCUCCAGGGCUCUGAUAUAAUUAGACUUCAACAGGCAAUGUAACGGAUUGCUCGCGCUCUUUAUUAUAUUAGAAAGUCAGCAGUUUCUCUGGUUUCUCCUGCUCUACUGUAUCUGUCUGCAUUUAGCUAAGGCUUUUUCUCUUCCCUUUAGCCAUCUGGAUAUUGACUUUGGUUUCUUUAAAAAGAACGAAGGGUACAAGCAGGACUGAAUUCCUAAACUCAGCUGAAAGAUGACCAGGCGCCUUCAGAUGAUGUUUACCAUAUAGCGGCAUUGUCUGAAAUCAUUCU
ensembl:lncRNA